ACUCAAAUGAAUUGACGGGGGCCCGCACAAGCAGCGGAGCGUGUGGUUUAAUUCGAUGACACGCGAAGAACCUUACCCGGACUUGACAUGCGCGUGGUACUAACCUGAAAGGGAAGGGACCCCUCGGGGAGCGCGCACAGGUGUUGCACGGCCGUCGUCAGCUCGUGCCGUGAGGUGUUGGGUUAAGUCUCGCAACGAGCGCAACCCCCGUCGCCAGUUAUACUUUUCUGGCGAGACUGCCGGGCAACCCCCGGAGGAAGGAGGGGAUGAUGUCAGGUCAGCGUGGCCCUUACGUCCGGGGCUACACACACGCUACAAUGGGUGGUACAACGAGUUGCGAAGGGGCGACCCGGAGCCAAUCUCAUCAAAGCCAUCCUCAGUUCGGAUCGCAGGCUGCAACCCGCCUGCGUGAAGCCGGAGUUGCUAGUAACCGUAGGUCAGCACUACUGCGGUGAAUACUGUUCCCGGGCCUUGUACACACCGCCCGU
rnacentral:rRNA from 1 species